rnacentral:rRNA from 1 species
AAUAGAUACCCGGGUAGUCCACGCCGUAAACGAUGGAUACUAGCUGUUGGAGGUAUCGACCCCUCCAGUAGCGAAGCUAACGCGUUAAGUAUCCCGCCUGUGGAGUACGGUCGCAAGACUAAAACAUAAAGGAAUUGACGGGGGACCCGCACAAGCGGUGGAUUGUGUUCUUUAAUUCGAUAAUAAACGAAGAACCUUACCAGGGUUUGACAUCCCAAGAAUUAUGCCGAAAGGCGUGAGUGCUUUAUUGAACUUGGUGACAGGUGAUGCGUGGCCGUCGUCAGCUCGUGUCGUGAGAUGUUUGGUUAAGUCCAUCAACGAGCGCAACCCUUGUGAAUAGUUGAAUUUUUCUAUUCAGACUGCCCCGGUCAACGGGGAGGAAGGAGGGGAUGAUGUCAGGUCAGUAUUUCCCGUUACAUCCUGGGCUAGAAACGCAAUACAAUGGUUAGUACAAUGCGCAGCGAAGCCGCGAGGUGAAGCAAAUCGCAUCAAAGCUAAUCCCAGUUCGGAUAAGAGGCUGAAACUCGCCUCUUUGAAGUCGGAAUCGCU